rnacentral:rRNA from 1 species
UAAAGAUUUUAAGGGCGUACGGCGGAUGCCUUGGCGAUAUCAGCCGAAGAAGGACGCGGUAAGCUGCGAUAAGCUACGGAGAGGUGCAAGCAACCUUUGACCCGUAGAUUUCCGAAUGGGGGAACCCGGCAGUGGUUAUGCACUGUCACCCAUACCUUUGAGUAUGAGGAGGGCACCUGGGGAACUGAAACAUCUAAUUACCCAGAGGAAGAGUAAUCAAACGAGAUUUUCUUAGUAGCGGCGAGCGAACGGGAAAGAGGCCAAACCGGAGCGGGCAACCGCACCGGGGUUGAGGACAGUCAUCAAGUGUAAAUGAGGUAGAAGAAUCGAGCUGGAAAGCUCAGCCGCAGAAGGUGAAAGCCCUGUAAUCGAAACCUUGCAUACACGGGACUGUAUCCAGAGUACCACGAGACACGUGAAACCUUGUGGGAAGCAGGGGGGACCACCCUCCAAGCCAAAAUACUGAUAUCGACCGAUAGCGCAUAGUACCGUGAGGGAAAGGUGAAAAGAACCCCUGGCGGGGAGUGAAAGAGAACCUGAAACCGUAUGUCUACAAACAGUCGAAGUCUGUAUAUAUAUCAGGACGACGGCGUGCCUAUUGAAGAAUGAACCGACGAGUUACUGUUGCUAGCGAGGUUAAGUGGAAAACAUGGAGCCGCAGCGAAAGCGAGUCUGAACAGGGCGUUCAGUUAGUAAUAGUAGACCCGAAACCGUAGUGAUCUAUCCAUGGCCAGGUUGAAGCACAGGUAAAAUUGUGUGGAGGACCGAACUCGUGAGCGUUGAAAAGCUUUGGGAUGAGUUGUGGAUAGGGGUGAAAUGCCAAUCGAACACGGAGAUAGCUGGUUCUCCCCGAAAUAGCUUUAGGGCUAGCCUCGAGGUAGAGAGUAUAGGCGGUAGAGCACUGAUCGGGCUAGGGGCCAUACCGGUUACCGAACCUAGUCAAACUACGAAUGGCUAUACUUAUACUCGGGAGUCAGACAGUGAAUGAUAAGGUCCAUUGUCAAGAGGGAAACAGCCCAGAACACCGACUAAGGUCCCCAAUGUUACACUAAGUGGCGAAGGAUGUGGAAUUUCCAAAACAACCAGGAUGUUGGCUUAGAAGCAGCCACCAUUUAAAGAGUGCGUAAUAGCUCACUGGUCGAGAGACUCUGCGCCGAAAAUGUCCGGGGCUAAAGUGUAAAACCGAAGUCGUGUCAUAUGCAGCAAUGUAUAUGGGUAGGGGAGCGUUCUCAUCGGGCUGAAGCAGUACCGUAAGGAGUUGUGGACUGAUGAGAAGUGAGAAUGUCGGUAUGAGUAGCGAAAAGAAUGGUGAGAAUCCAUUCCACCGAAAGCCUAAGGGUUCCUGAGCAACGAUCGUCGUCUCAGGGUAAGUCGGGACCUAAGCCGAGGCGGAAAAGCGUAGGCGAUGGACAACAGGUUGAAAUUCCUGUACCGGUGUGAAUCGUUUGAUCGAUGGAGUGACACAGUAAGGUAGGUCAGCACGCGAUUGGAAGAGCGUGUUUAAGCAGGUAGGUUGAGCUAUAGGCAAAUCCGUAGUUCUAAAAGCUGAGAUGUGAUGACGAGUGACUAGCAAUAGUCACGAAGUGAUUGAUCCUACACUGUCGAGAAAAGCUUCUAGGUAGAGACACAUCGCCCGUACCAAAACCGACACAGGUAGGCGGGGAGAGAAUCCUAAGGUGCGCGGGAAAACCCUCGUUAAGGAACUCGGCAAAAUGCCUCCGUAACUUCGGGAAAAGGAGGACUCAUGUAGUGUGAAGUGCAGCAACGCAUGGAGCAUGAAUGAGUGGCACAAGAGAGGCGCAAGCGACUGUUUACCACAAACACAGGUGCCUGCUAAAGCGAAAGCUGAUGUAUAGGUGCUGACACCUGCCCGGUGCUGGAAGGUUAAGAGGAGGGGUUAGACUUCGGUCGAAGCUCUGAAUUGAAGCCCCAGUAAACGGCGGCCGUAACUAUAACGGUCCUAAGGUAGCGAAAUUCCUUGUCGGGUAAGUUCC